rnacentral:rRNA from 1 species
GACGAACGCUGGCGGCGUGCUUAACACAUGCAAGUCGAACGGCAAGGCACUGCUUUUGUGGGGUGCUCGAGUGGCGAACGGGUGCGUAACACGUGAGUAACCUGCCCUUGACUUUGGGAUAACUUCAGGAAACUGGGGCUAAUACCGGACAGGAGCUCCUGCUGCGUGGUGGGGGUUGGAAAGUUUCGGCGGGUGGGGAUGGACUCGCGGGUAAUCAGCUUGUUGGUGGGGUAGUGGUUUACCAAGGCUUUGACGGGUAGCCGGCCGGGGAGGGUGACCGGCCACAUGGGGACUAAGAUACGGCGCAGUCUCCUACGGGAGGCAGCAGUGGGGAAUAUUGCACAAUGGGCCGAAGCCUGAUGCAGCAACGCCGCGUGCGGGAUGCCGGCCUUCGGGUUGUAAACCGCUUUCGCCUGUGACGAAGCGUGAGUGACGGUAAUGGGUAAAGAAGCACCGGCUAACUACGUG